UUUUCUGCUCUUUGCAGUUCAAACUUUGUAAGGUUCGAUCAGUGCAGUUUGGACAGAAGGGGAUCCCAUAUCUCAACACUUAUGAUGGAAGAACAAUCCGCUACCCCGAUCCCCUCAUCAAGGCCAAUGACACCAUUAAGCUGGACUUAGAUUCCAAUAAGAUUGUUGACUUCAUCAAAUUUGAUGUUGGAAAUGUGGUUAUGGUUACUGGUGGUAGAAACAGGGGACGUGUUGGAAUUCUUAAGAAUAGAGAGAAGCACAAGGGUAGCUUUGAGACAGUUCACAUUCAAGACUCCCUGGGGCAUGAGUUUGCUACCCGUUUGGGAAAUGUGUUCACUCUUGGCAAGGGUAGUAAGCCAUGGGUGUCUCUACCUAAGGGGAAAGGUAUCAAGUUAUCUAUCAUUGAAGAGGCUCGCAAGAGGAUGGCUGCCCAAUCAGCUACAACUGCUUAAAAAUCUUAGGUUGAACUUGAGAUGAGAUUAAUAGGUUGGGCCAUAUUUCUCUUUGUUUAGAGGGAUGCCGUUCUUAUUUUUGUGUGUUCCAUUUCAAUAUUUGUGUACUCGGUACUGUUUUACAUACAUUUUUUUGUCAGGAAAAAAGAAAGACUGAGUUGAGAUCAAUCAGUUGCCUUCUAUGUUAUAGUAUUUUAUUGCGACUGAGUUUAAGGACACCUUGUCCAUGAGUUUAUUAACUUAAUUCAAAAUGAGUUUUUGGUUGUAAUAUUUUUUAAACUGACCCGGAGUUGGAUUCCAAAUUUGGUAUUCUUCACUUAACCUGAUUCCUAAUUUUUUUUUGGUCAUUUAACUUCCGAUUAAGUUAGCUCUUUUGUCCUGCUAAUAGUAUAAUCAAACGCCACUGUCUAAUUUGUAAGAGUUAUUUGACUUGUUUCAUUAGAGUUAAAAUGAUAAGCUUAGUAAAAACUUAUUCAGCAGAACACUUAACUGACAGGGUACAAUCAAGUAUUAGUUAGUGACACUUGAACUCUCACGUCAAUUCCUUCACAAUAGUAAAUUAUUUCCUGCGUAAAGAAAUAAAAUGUUAUACUUUGAUUUCAAGCUUGAAAUAAGGAGAUACAUCUUAUUAUGUGUAUUUGCAACCAAAUUUAAACUUCCAUUUCAUAGCUUAUUUAUAUCGUCAUUUUAAAUAAAUAUAGAGGCUAUGUUUGUUGGGUCGCAUAAACAAAGUCAGCCCGUGUAAUUUGUUCGAUAAAUAAGGCCCAUAUUACAAGGCCCAACUUGCUUUAGGCCCAAAACAAAUUGGGCGCACGAGAUAUGUAGUAGAGUACAACAGAUUGUAUCUUCAUCUCAUUAGGGUUGAAGACACACGCCUCUCGCCGGUAGACGUCACUCUCGGCAGCUAAUCUGUCGGAAAACCGCCAAAAUGGUUAGUUUUCUCUCUCUCUGUUAAUUCAUCUCGUCAAUGUUGUUUAGAUUGUUAUUUGGUGCCUGAUAGAUCAGUUGUAUUUUAGUCUUAUUGGCUUUUUUUCCAGGUCUACACUGUAUGUAUCAGUUAUACCUUUGCUAAUUGUUUGCUAUAUGUGUAAUACAUCUGAUAUUAUAUUCUUGGUUGUUCCGUUCGAUUUAUGCUCUCAAUCGUAUCUGUUGAUCUCAAGUGGUGCUGGUUAAUAUCGUAUGUGUAAGUAAUCAAUUGCAUUUAGUUACUGUCGCCACUGGAUAUUAGUGUAUACAGUUUUUUAUAAUUGUAUUUUGCUUUCAUUGUGAUUGCUGUUGCACUCUGUGUUGUACUGUAUUCUAUUGGAUUGUUUUAAUGAAUACAACAUUUGGAUAGAUUUUAUGGUUCUACAGAUAGAGCUAAAAUAAGAUCAUUAAAUAAUUAGUAAAGACAUAGUGAGAAAAUAAAUAAAUCAGACAAAAUGGUCGCUACACAAAGUGAGACCGAUACCUAACUGUUAUUUUAAUGAUAGCUUAAGAUUUGCACAAUGAAAUUGUGUAGUAUAGUUCAAGUUAUUUACUCUAUGUAUUGAAAAAUUUGUUCUGUACCUUUGCGAAAGAACAUGCUUCUAAUGUUGUUUGACAUGGAUAGAUUUUAAAAGAACCUGUGGAACAGCUUCCCUUUAUAUUUUUGGUCAAUUGAUUUUUGUUCUAACUUCUAUCAGCUUUCAUUUAUAUUAAGUGGUAAAAUUUUUGCAUUUAGGCUUUGGAAACAUCAUACUAAUGUGAAUUUUGUAAUUUCUUGUCUAUAUAUAGGCAAGAGGGUUGAAGAAACAUUUAAAGAGGCUCAAUGCGCCUAAGCAUUGGAUGCUUGAUAAACUCGGAGGUGCUUUUGUAAGUGGCAUGUCUUUUCCUCAAGUCUUUUUUUUUUGAAUAUUAUUACUUAGUAUCCUGCUUCUUGACUUUACUGUUCUCUUUGGUCUCUACUGCAGGCUCCCAAGCCUUCUUCUGGUCCACAUAAAUCAAGGGAAUGUUUGCCAUUGGUUAUUAUCCUGAGGAACAGGUUGAAAUAUGCGUUGACGUACCGUGAGGUCAUUUCUAUCUUGAUGCAACGCCAAGUUAUGGUUGAUGGGAAAGUUAGAACAGAUAAGACUUACCCUGCUGGUUUCAUGGGUAAGCACACCUCCAUUAGAGUGUUUUUCAUUUCAAAACCUUUAUACUUAUGUUUUCCUUAUUUCUGUACUGCCUAUGUUUGUAGUCUUACUGAUUCAUUUAUAUACACACGCUUUGACAGUUCCAAAGACAAUUGUUGUUGAGAGUGUCUUCAAGCUUUUUUAAUCAAAAAUCAUUUUUUAGUGUCUUUUUUUCUUGUUGCUAUGUUUGUUGAAUUCCUUGACAAAUUGGUAAUGCUGUUAUUUUCUCUGUGUAGACGUUGUUACUAUUCCAAAGACGAAUGAGAGCUUCCGACUUCUUUAUGACACUAAGGGUCGGUUCCGUCUACACUCACUCAGAGAUGAGGAAGCCAAGGUUUGAACCUGUUUCCUGCUUCUUCUUUGUUCCGGUUUGCUUUGGAUGCUGUGCUGUUAAAGUAGUGACCUUGUUUUCUGCUCUCUGCAGUUCAAACUUUGCAAGGUUCGAUCAGUGCAGUUUGGACAGAAGGGUAUCCCAUAUCUCAACACGUAUGAUGGAAGAACAAUCCGCUACCCCGAUCCCCUCAUCAAGGCCAAUGACACCAUCAAGCUGGACUUAGAUUCCAAUAAGAUUGUUGACUUCAUCAAGUUUGAUGUUGGUAAUGUGGUUAUGGUGACUGGUGGUAGAAACAGGGGACGUGUUGGAAUUCUUAAGAACAGGGAGAAGCACAAGGGUAGCUUUGAGACAGUUCACAUUCAGGAUUCCCUGGGGCAUGAGUUUGCUACCCGUUUGGGAAAUGUGUUCACUCUUGGUAAAGGUAGUAAGCCAUGGGUCUCUCUACCUAAGGGUAAAGGUAUCAAGUUAUCUAUCAUUGAAGAGGCUCGCAAGAGGAUGGCUGCUCAAUCAGCUACAACUGCUUAAAAAUGAUAGGUUGAACUUGAGAUGAAUUUAAUAGGUUGCGCUAUUUUUCUCUUUGUUUAGAGGGUUGCCACCUCUUAUUUUUGGUGUUGCAUUUCAACAUCCUAUGUACUCGGUAUUGUUUUACAUACCUUUUUUUGUCAGGAAAAAACAAUGACUGAGUUUAGACCAAUCAGUUGCCUUUUUAUGUGAUGGUAUUUCAUUGUAAGAGUUUAAGGACCUUGUCGAUGAGUUUAUUCACUUGUUUCAAAAUGAGUUUUUGGUUGUAAUAUCUUCAAAUCCAACCUGCUGUUGUAUUCCAAAGUUGGUGUAGUUCACUAAACCUGAUUCGUAAUUUCAUUUUCAUAAACUUCAAAUGAUGUGGGUUCUUUUGUCCUACUAAUUGUACAAUCAAACAUAAUUGUCGAAUUAUAUGUAUUUUCGGAAUCUCUUUCCUGAUGAUUUCUGAUUUUGAUGUAAUUUUGUUUGAGUUAAUGUCAUUAGAGUUAAAAAUGAGAAGUUCAGUCAUUGAUUAUAUAGUAGAUGACUCGAAUGAGUGAGAACAAUGAAGGAUUAAUAACACUUUGAUAUUGGUUCACUUAGUCCAUCGUUUGUAUUAAAAUGUAAGAACUAAGAAUCAUAUCCUCACAAACAUUAUGAAAAGAAAGUUAUCGUGGGGACAAAUUAUUGUCCAGAUGCAAUUAGUCUUGUAGUGACAACACUUCAAGGCAUACAAUCAACUAAAACUAUUUAGUUCAUAAAUAAUGAUUUCAUUUCUGCUAAUGUAAGUGCCCAACAAGCCAUUUUAUGUACAUAUACUUGAAUACAGAGUUUAAAGAAAUUUCACCGAAGAUCGAUGAUAUGAUAUGUUUGACAUGUCUAUUCAUUUUCCAUUUUAUACAAAGAACUUCAAUAUCAAGUGGUGCUUUGCAAAUGGUUAGUACAACAAAAAUGCUGAGCAUGUAGUAAGGUAUAUUAGGCACAAAUCAUCACUUAGUUGACAUAAAAAUGCACAACCAGGUCCGACUUAGUAGAAAUAAACAUGGUAUUUAAUGAAAGAGCAAAUAGAACCUAAAACAGAAUACAAAAUUUGCACGGUAAAUUCUCACAUCAAUUCAAUCACAAUAGUAAAUUAUUACCUGCAUAACAAAAUAGAAUGUUAUUUUUGGUUUUCAAGCUAGAUAUAAGGAGAUACAUCUUAGUAAGUGUAUUUGCUAACAAAUUCAAACUUCCAUUUCAUAGCUUAAACAUCUUUCUUUCAGAUAAAUAUAGAGGCUAUGUUUGUUGGGUCGCAUAAUUGUUCGAUAAAUAAGGCCCAUAUUCUAAAGUGGUUAAAUGGCCCAAUAUGCUAUAGGCCCAAAACAAAUUGGGCGCAUGAGGUAUGUAAUAUAGUAUUUAAGAGAUUGUAUCUUCAUCUCGUUAGGGUUUGAAGAGACACACCUCUCGCCGGUUGCCGUCACUCGCCGCAGUUAAUCAGUCGGGAAACCGCCAAAAUGGUUAGUUUUCUCUAUCUGUUUAUUAAUCUCGUUAAUUUUUUUAGAUUGUUAUUUGUUGCCUGAUUGAUCAGUUGUAUUUGAGUCUCCAUGGCUUUUGUUCCAGGUCUAGACAGUACUGUAUCAGUUAUACCUUUGCUAAUUGCUUGCUAUAUGUGUAAUUCAUGUAAUAUUAUAUUCUUGGCUGUGCUUUUCGAUUUAUGCGCUGAAAUGUAUGUGUUGAUCUCAAGUGGUGCUGGUUAAUUUUAGGGCUUGUAUGUGUAAAUAAUCAAUUACAUUAGUUACUGUCGCCAUUAGAUAUUAGUGUAUACAGUUUUUUUAGUUGUAUUUUGCUGUCAUUGUGAUUGCUGUUGCACUCUGUGUUGUACUGUAUCCUUCUUAAAAAAUUAAUUUUGUUACAAGAUAAGAUUACUAAAUAAUUAGUAAAGACAUAGUGAGAAAAUAAAUAGAUCAGACCAAAUUGGUCGUUACACAAAGUAAGACAAAUCCCUUACUGCUGAUUUAAUGAUAGCUUGAGGUUUGGACAGUGGAAUUGUGUAGUAUAAGUUCAAGUUAUUUACUCGAUGCAUUGAAUAAUUGCUCUUUACCUUUGUGAAAAAACAAGCUUCUAUUGUUGUUUGACAUAGAUAGAUUAUAAUAAAAAGCUGUGGAAUAGCUCCCCUUUUUCUUUUUGGUAAAGUGACUUUUGUUCUUUCAGCUUUCAUUUAUAUAAGUGGUAAUAUUUUUGCAUUUAGGCUUUGGAAACAUCAUACUAAAGUGAAUUGUGUAACUUCUUGUCCAUAUAUAGGCAAGAGGGUUGAAGAAACAUUUGAAGAGGCUCAAUGCGCCUAAGCAUUGGAUGCUUGAUAAACUUGGAGGUGCUUUUGUAAGUGACAUGUCUUUCCCUAUAGUCUUUUUUUUGAUAGUACUACUUAGUUUCCUCCUUCUUGACUUUACUUUUCUCCUUGGUUUCUACUGCAGGCUCCCAAGCCUUCUUCUGGUCCACAUAAAUCAAGGGAAUGUUUGCCAUUGGUUAUUAUCCUGAGGAACAGGUUGAAAUAUGCGUUGACGUACCGUGAGGUCAUUUCUAUCUUGAUGCAACGCCAAGUUAUGGUUGAUGGGAAAGUUAGAACAGAUAAGACUUACCCUGCUGGUUUCAUGGGUAAGAACACCUCUAUUAGAGUGUCUUUCAUUUCAAAACCUUUAGAUUUAUGUUCUCCUUAUUUCUGUACUGUCUAGGUUUGCGGUCUUACUGAUUCAUCUAUAUACACAUGCUUUCACAGAUCCAAAGACCAUUGUUGAUGAGAGUGUAUUCAAGCUUUUUUAUCAAAAAUUAUUGUCUCAGUGUCCUUUUUUCUUAUUUUUUUCUUGUUGCUAUGUUUGUUGAAUUCCUUGACAAAUUGGUAAUGCUUUUAUUUUGUUUGUGUAGAUGUUGUUACUAUUCCAAAGACAAAUGAGAGCUUCCGACUUCUUUAUGACACUAAGGGUCGGUUCCGCCUCCACUCACUCAGAGACGAGGAAGCCAAGGUUUGAACCUGUAUCCUGCUUCUUCUUUGUUCCGGUUUGCUUUGGCUGUGCUGCUUAAGUAGUGACCUUGUUUUCUGCUCGCAGUUCAAACUUUGCAAGGUUCGAUCAGUCCAGUUUGGACAGAAGGGUAUCCCAUAUCUCAACACAUAUGAUGGAAGAACAAUCCGCUACCCUGAUCCCCUCAUCAAGGCCAAUGACACCAUCAAGCUGGACUUAGAUUCCAAUAAGAUUGUUGACUUCAUCAAGUUUGAUGUUGGUAAUGUGGU
rnacentral:lncRNA from 1 species